rnacentral:rRNA from 1 species
GACGAACCGUGCGAACGUUGUUCGGAAUUACUGGGCGUAAAGGGCGCGUAGGCGGCCUUCUAAGUCGGACGUGAAAUCCCUCGGCUUAACCGAGGAACUGCGUCUGAUACUGGAAGGCUUGAAUCCGGGAGAGGGAUGUGGAAUUCCAGGUGUAGCGGUGAAAUGCGUAGAUAUCUGGAGGAACACCGGUGGCGAAGGCGGCAUCCUGGACCGGCAUUGACGCUGAGGCGCGAAAGCUAGGGGAGCAAACGGG